rnacentral:rRNA from 1 species
GGGUGAGUGGCGGACGGGUGAGUAACGCGUAGGGAUCUAUCCACGGGUGGGGGAUAACACCGGGAAACUGGUGCUAAUACCGCAUGAUACCUGAGGGUCAAAGGCGCAAGUCGCCUGUGGAGGAGCCUGCGUUCGAUUAGCUUGUUGGUGGGGUAAAGGCCUACCAAGGCGAUGAUCGAUAGCUGGUCUGAGAGGAUGAUCAGCCACACUGGGACUGAGACACGGCCCAGACUCCUACGGGAGGCAAGCAGUGGGGAAUAUUGGACAAUGGGCGCAAGCCUGAUCCAGCAAUGCCGCGUGUGUGAAGAAGGUCUUCGGAUUGUAAAGCACUUUCGACGGGGACGAUGAUGACGGUACCCGUAGAAGAAGCCCCGGCUACUUCGUGCCAGCAGCCGCGGUAAUACGAAGGGGGCUAGCGUAGCUCGCAAUGACUGGGCGUAAGGGUGUGUAGGCGGUUUGCACAGCCAGAUGUGAAAUUCCAGGGCUUAACCUUGCCCCUGCAUUUGAUACGUGUAGACUGGAGUGUGAGAGAGGGUUGUGGAAUUCCCAGUGUAGAGGUG